AGUUUCUAAACUAAAACGGCACGGAUUCAGUUUUGUGUCGUUAAUUAAUAACUGCAUAGUACAGGAAUAUGUUCAAAAUCUCAAGUACCUCUAAUGCUAUUCGUGUUUUGGGAUUUGUGAUGAAUAUUUUAUCACAUAAAUAGCAGUGGAAUCUGAGCAGCUUCAUUUACGGUAUUACUACCUCUUUACCUGAGCUGUGGUAUUUUUAAAUAGACAGCUCGCCUUGACGUGCAGUGAGCUGAUGACUUAAGGGGAGUCCCCCAUGGCUCUUUUGGAGUGAACCAGCCUGGAGUGGAGGACAGCGAGGCUUUACCGGUUGCUGUUAUCUCCUGCGACAUUGCUGAUUACAGGUGAUCAGACGAGCAUCUCUAAAUUGAACGACAGGUCAAACCUUGGAGCAGAUGGGCUAAAGCAGCUGAAGACCAUAUCUGAUGCCCCUCUGUUCAACUAAGAACAGGAAACUGAG